rnacentral:rRNA from 1 species
UGCAGCCGAGCGGUAGAGUUUCUUCGGGAACUUGAGAGCGGCGUACGGGUGCGGAACACGUGUGCAACCUGCCUUUAUCAGGGGGAUAGCCUUUCGAAAGGAAGAUUAAUACCCCAUAAUAUUUAGAAUGGCAUCAUUUUAAAUUGAAAACUCCGGUGGAUAGAGAUGGGCACGCGCAAGAUUAGAUAGUUGGUGAGGUAACGGCUCACCAAGUCUGCGAUCUUUAGGGGGCCUGAGAGGGUGAUCCCCCACACUGGUACUGAGACACGGACCAGACUCCUACGGGAGGCAGCAGUGAGGAAUAUUGGACAAUGGGUGCGAGCCUGAUCCAGCCAUCCCGCGUGAAGGACGACGGCCCUAUGGGUUGUAAACUUCUUUUGUAUAGGGAUAAACCUACCCUCGUGAGGGUAGCUGAAGGUACUAUACGAAUAAGCACCGGCUAACUCCGUGCCAGCAGCCGCGGUAAUACGGAGGGUGCAAGCGUUAUCCGGAUUUAUUGGGUUUAAAGGGUCCGUAGGCGGAUCUGUAAGUCAGUGGUGAAAUCUCACAGCUUAACUGUGAAACUGCCAUUGAUACUGCAGGUCUUGAGUGUUGUUGAAGUAGCUGGAAUAAGUAGUGUAGCGGUGAAAUGCAUAGAUAUUACUUAGAACACCAAUUGCGAAGGCAGGUUACUAAGCAACAACUGACGCUGAUGGACGAAAGCGUGGGGAGCGAACAGGAUUAGAUACCCUGGUAGUCCACGCCGUAAACGAUGCUAACUCGUUUUUGGAUUUUCGGAUUCAGAGACUAAGCGAAAGUGAUAAGUUAGCCACCUGGGGAGUACGUUCGCAAGAAUGAAACUCAAAGGAAUUGACGGGGGCCCGCACAAGCGGUGGAUUAUGUGGUUUAAUUCGAUGAUACGCGAGGAACCUUACCAAGGCUUAAAUGGGAAAUGACAGGUUUAGAAAUAGACUUUUCUUCGGACAUUUUUCAAGGUGCUGCAUGGUUGUCGUCAGCUCGUGCCGUGAGGUGUUAGGUUAAGUCCUGCAACGAGCGCAACCCCUGUCACUAGUUGCCAUCAUUAAGUUGGGGACUCUAGUGAGACUGCCUACGCAAGUAGAGAGGAAGGUGGGGAUGACGUCAAAUCAUCACGGCCCUUACGCCUUGGGCCACACACGUAAUACAAUGGCCGGUACAGAGGGCAGCUACACAGCGAUGUGAUGCAAAUCUCGAAAGCCGGUCUCAGUUCGGAUUGGAGUCUGCAACUCGACUCUAUGAAGCUGGAAUCGCUAGUAAUCGCGCAUCAGCCAUGGCGCGGUGAAUACGUUCCCGGGCCUUGUACACACCGCCCGUCAAGCCAUGGAAGUCUGGGGUACCUGAAGUCGGUGACCGUAAC